GACAGAGGGGGCAAGCGUUGCUCGGAAUUACUGGGCGUAAAGGGCGCGUAGGCGGUCCGAUAAGUCGGCUGUGAAAGUCAGGGGCUCAACCCUUGAAAGCCGGCCGAUACUGUCGGACUAGAGUCCGGAAGAGGCAAGUGGAAUUCCCGGUGUAGCGGUGAAAUGCGCAGAUAUCGGGAGGAACACCAAUGGCGAAGGCAGCUUGCUGGGACGGUACUGACGCUGAGGCGCGAAAGCGUGGGGAGCAAACAGGG
rnacentral:rRNA from 1 species